rnacentral:rRNA from 1 species
CCUACGGGUGGCAGCAGUGAGGAAUAUUGGUCAAUGGCCGGAAGGCUGAACCAGCCAAGCCGCGUGAAGGACGAAGGUGCCAAGCAUUGUAAACUUCUUUUGUCAAGGGACAAAAUCAGGCUCGAGAGCCUGACCGAGGGUACUUGAAGAAAAAGCAUCGGCUACCUCCGUGCCAGCAGCCGCGGUAAUCCGGAGGAUGCGAGCGUUAUCCGGAUUUAUUGGGUUAAAGGGGUGCGUAGGCGGACUGUUAAGUCAGCGGUAAAAGCCCGGGGCUCAACCCCGGCGAGCCGUUGAAACUGGCUGUCUUGAGAUGUCGAGAGGUAUGCGGAAUGCGCAGUGUAGCGGUGAAAUGCUUAGAUAUUGCGCAGAACUCCGAUUGCGAAGGCAGCAUACCGGCGGCGAUCUGACGCUGAGGCACGAAAGCGUGGGUAGCGAACAGGAUUAGAUACCCCUGUAGUC